rnacentral:lncRNA from 1 species
GAGUCGUUUUGUUGAUAGUAAUGGCUAGAGCCAUAACUUGAGUUUUUGGACGAAAUUUUGGCUCAAAAUUUCCACAAGUGUGUGUUAUCAAGUUAAGAAGCUAAAGAUCAAAGUUUCAUAGUGUUUGAGUACAUACUUUGUGAGAUAUGAAGAAAAUUGCACACGGGUGUAUGUAAGCUAGGAUUUGAAGCUAUUGCUAGGAUUUUCAAGAUAUCUCAAGAUCCGUAACGAAUUUGCAAUUGAAAUUUGUUGUGGUAGUUUUUGAAAGUAUAUCAAUGUUUCAUGUAAAAUUUUAGC